rnacentral:rRNA from 1 species
UAGGGAAUUUUCGUCAAUGGGGGCAACCCUGAACGAGCAAUGCCGCGUGAGCGAAGAAGGUCUUCGGAUUGUAAAGCUCUGUUGCCGGGGAAAAAGGAAGGAAAGAGGAAAUGCUUUUCUUUGGAUGGUACCCGGCCAGAAAGUCACGGCUAACUACGUGCCAGCAGCCGCGUAAUAGUGCGCU